AAGCCAGCUCAUGUCACGUCGCCUGCGGCUUGAGAGGAUGGGUAGCCUUAGGGGUUGGUUGUUAUCUUUGGUUAUCUAGCUGUAUGAGUGAUGUACAUUCUUCAUAAAGCUAGAUAACCGAAAGUAACAAGAAUCCCAUUACACUCCUGAAAAGGCAUCAAGACCCCAAACGCAACUCCCUUUAAGAGAAUGCAAAGUUUGCAACGAGAGCUGGAAGACGAGGGGAGAGGACGGAAUUAAAAGGAGGCCGGAGCCGGAUGCACAAAAAGGCUCACCACCACCAGCACCAGCAGCAGCAGCAGCUUCACAUCACUGAAGGAAAGCUGGCAAAGGAGACUGAAAAAAAGAGAAGAAGGAGGAGGAGGGGUUGCUGUUGAUUCUGCCCUCCCUCUCUCCUCGCCCUCCUCUGCAUCGCCUCUUCCCUCCUCCUCCUCCUCCUCCUCCUCCCUUCCUCCUUCGCUCCAUCCUCAGCAGACUGCCCCCUUUUUCCUGUACGACGAGACGCAGCCCGCGCCACCAUCUUAGAGCAACACUGGCAUGAAAUGGAAGUGGAGAGCCCAGUCAAUGCAGGUGAGAUCUGGAGCUGAGGUGAGCUUGGGGAGGGACAGCGGGGACUCCUUCGUUCUGCAGCCAGGACGCCAUGAGAACAAUUGGGCGCUCACGUCUUGCACGCGACUCCUGCUGCUACUUUGGAGACCUCCGCUCUGAGUGAUGCUGAGCGAUGCACUAUGUGACCCAACGAGGGCUGAGGAAGCAUCAGGGUGGACUCAGACUUUGGGGAGGGAUGAUGAGCCGCUCUGCUGCAAAAUUGUGACUUCUUAUAUAUUAUUGUUUGUAUAAAAUGUGUAAGAAGAGCAGACUGUGCUCGCUCAUAUGUGUACAAAUUGUACAUUUUUAUUUGAAUGCUCUUUUUCAUCGUUUAUAUCCUCAUGUGUUUGUGUCAGUAAAUAUUAACAUACUCAGCUAACCUGUAGGUGAUAUUUGAUGAGUCGUAGCCCACCUUUAGUUCCUUUCCCUCUUUGGUUUUAGUUGCUAGGACUCAGAGACACGUGAAUGUGAGACCCACGGCAGCAGUGAAUCAAACUGCACUGCGAUUGGACGGCUCCGUGUGUCGGCUGACACAAUGGCGAAGGAGUGAGCGAGCUGUCGUCUUUAUACUCUAUGCAACUGUUUCAUCUUUACUUUGGUUCAAUCCCAGACGGGUGGAGUCUUUUUCAUCUCUCCUGAUCUGUGUUUUUAUUUUUGGGCUACCGUUUUUGGAAAGAAGCCUGCGUCCCCGUCGUUUAAUGCACCGAGUGUGUGUGAGUGACUGAUCUUACAGAUCCUCCUCUUUGAUUCUGAGUUUACAUGGACUCACAUGUUUUAAAACUCUAAGGUGUGUGUGUGUGUGUGUGUGAUCAGCUGAGGGUGAGACAUGACAAAUACAUCGGCUUCAACCACCGCCUUCAUUUCCUGUCCUCACACACACUCAAACGCAAUAAAGCGGAGGACUAUCGCAGCCUAAUUCAUUCUAUAUUAAUUUUCGGGAAGUGGCAAAUUUUUUAUUACGAUUGAUAAUCUAUGCAAAUCUUUUAAAUAUGACUUUAAACAAUCUACGUCUGCAGAGCUUCUUGCAAUCGAUUCAAGGGAGACUAUCUUGGCCUAAUUUAGAAAAUGUAUUCUUUUGAUAAUCAUGAACAUCCCAGUGCUCCAGACAAUUACUUAUCUGCCUGGAUAAGCUUGAAAUUAUGUUUUUAAUCUUUAAGAAAAAGAAAAAAAAAGUCUCUGAUAUCAUGAAAAGCAUGAAUCGAGGUCUAAAAUAAUUAAAUCGGUUGCACUAAAUCUCAGAUCAAACGUAUCUCUCUCUCAGCUGUGCUUUCUGUGCAGCUUGUUUUAUAUAAGCAGCGAUGUUUGUGUUAUGCAAUCUCUAAUCGCUGUGGAUGAGUGUUCACCACAUGUGCCUUUUGUAUGCAAAACUGUUGGAAUACUAAUAAAAGUUUACAUGGAAAACAA